GGGUUAUAUAUAGACGCAUAGGGGUUGUUUAUUGGUCUCUAGUAUGUGGCAUUUACCUGUGCACAUCCAUUCUCUAUUUGGUUCAUCAGGAAGGGACAUUUCUCAAGAACAUAUUCUGGUAUACUACAUGCAUUGCACAUAAGUGCAGAAACUUAGUUCACACUGGCUGGUCUCUGUAGCUCUAAAGCCUCUAACCUACGUGCUAAAAUUAUGAUUUUGGCCUCUG
rnacentral:lncRNA from 1 species